rnacentral:rRNA from 1 species
CCUACGGGUGGCAGCAGUGAGGAAUAUUGGUCAAUGGACGCAAGUCUGAACCAGCCAUGCCGCGUGCAGGAAGACGGCUCUAUGAGUUGUAAACUGCUUUUGUACGGGGGUAAACGCAGAUACGCGUAUCUGUCUGAAAGUAUCGUACGAAUAAGGAUCGGCUAACUCCGUGCCAGCAGCCGCGGUAAUACGGAGGAUUCAAGCGUUAUCCGGAUUUAUUGGGUUUAAAGGGUGCGUAGGCGGUCGGAUAAGUUAGAUGUGAAAUCCCGAGGCUCAACCUCGGAAUUGCAUCUGAUACUGUUAGGCUAGAGAGUAGUUGCGGUAGGCGGAAUGUAUGGUGUAGCGGUGAAAUGCUUAGAGAUCAUAAAGAACACCGAUUGCGAAGGCAGCUUACCAGACUACUACUGACGUUGAGGCACGAAAGCGUGGGGAGCAAACAGGAUUAGAUACCCUGGUAGUC